GACCAGGGGCCGGCUGUUUGGUACGUUAGGCGUAAGGCUCACUUCCUCACCCUCGCCACAGGAAGACAGACCACAUGAAAACAGGAAGCUCUCCUACAUGCACACAUCAAAGAGCUGCUGCGUAGAGGUGAGAGCGGCCUAACUCAAAAGACAAAGCUGAUGUCAAACCCAUCUGUCUUUCUUUUUGACGGAAGUGGAAAAAAUGAGUAAACACAGGGAAGCAGUGGACACAGAAGGGAACUCAUUAAGCACUAACAUUAACAGAAGCCUUCCAGAAGCUGUCUGGACCCAAGAUUUAAACGUGCUGAAAAGUGGCAGGUCAGAGCUGCAGUAAUGAGAGGAAACUGAACGGUCAAGCUCACAAAACAUGAAACAAGACCAUAGAUAAAAGGGCCCACAAUGGAGCGGCUGUAGACUGUAAGAACACACAGCUACUGUACCGCACAAAGCCGGGGGAGAGAAAGAGACUGGCUGGCACAGGCGCACUGAAAAGGCUCCUAACAAAGGAAGCGCAAUCAUGAAUAAAAAUUUGACACUGUAGCUGCUCUGCCUGUUGGCUGCGAGUGCCACACACAGAAAUAGCUGCUGAGCCAGUGGGUGUGGUGCCAUGGCAACUGGAGCUCGGGUCUGAUGUCACAGAGGAUCACUAUGGCAACCGGCCCAGAUUGCCUGUCGCAGCAUGAGGUCAGCGUUGCCAGGGAAACGCACCAGCUGAGCAAUAAGCUUUUUAUUGCGGUGCGAAGGGGGAGAGGCAGGGAAGAAGACGGGGACGGGCUGGAGAGA